CCGGGCAGGGCAGGGGCGGGGACCGGCCGGGGGAGGGGUGGUGGGGGUGGGGGUAAGAGCAGGUUUUAGGGAAGAAACGCCUGUAGACAGGGAAAAUCAUUGACUUGGGUCCAGCAAUGCCAAAUGUGUUGGGGUGUGAGCAGCCAAAGGCAACAGGCUCUAGCCCCACCGACCGGCGCUGGGGGCUCCUGGUGCUGCCCGUGGGGUGGGGGGUGCAGGGUCUGAGGGAUUGGAUUUCCCUGGGGGUUUGCAGGAGACCAGGAGUGAGAGGAAACGCAGUGCCAGAGCAGGCUGUGUUUGCCUCUGAGGACAGAGAGCCUGUGGGCUGAGGUGAGAUUGCUGUGAGUGUUGGGAUGAGCAUUCCAGGGAACGGGGAGCUUGGAAUUCCAGGUGCUGAUGGAACCAUUGCCUUAGGUGUGUUUAGUUUGUGUCUGUGGGAGCUGGGAUUCGGGCUGGGGAGCUGUUGCUGGGAACAAAGGGUGGAGAAAACCUGCUCCACGGAUGUGUAAGGAAGGAUGGAGUAGCAGGGAAGGGGAGUAUUUCUAUACAGUAUCAAUAUUCUCCAUGUGGGAUGGAGCAGCAAUGGGGGUGGUUGGGUUUGGCCUGGGCCGGUCAGGAUCUGCCAUAAACAACCCACCAGACCCUGAACCCUCACUGGACAUGUCCAACCCCUCAACAGAAACCCAAGUCCUUCAUUAACUGUUACAGAGGAAAAAUGAUUGGUAAUUGCUUCUGAUCCGUGGAGAAUCUCCUUUGGAAUGAUCAAGCAGAGAGCGUACCAAGGCAGGCAGAGCAUUUCUUUUGGCUCUUUUUUUUUU